UGUUCGGAUCGCGCCGACGGCGGCGGUUCCUGUCGCCGACGUCGCGAGAAGUUCAUUGAACCUUAUCAUUUAGAGGAAGGAGAAGUCGUAACAAGGUUACCGUAGGUGAACCUGCGGUAAGAUCAUUG
rnacentral:rRNA from 1 species